GAUGAAGAACGUAGCGAAAUGCGAUAAGUAAUGUGAAUUGCAGAAUUCAGUGAAUCAUCGAAUCUUUGAACGCACAUUGCGCCCGCCAGUAUUCUGGCGGGCAUGCCUGUUCGAGCGUCAUUUCAACCAUCAAGCCCCCGGCUUGUGUUGGGGACCUGCGGCUGCCCGCAGGCCCUGAAAACCAGUGGCGGGCUCGCUGUCACUCCGAGCGUAGUAGCAUAUAUCUCGCUCAGGGCGUGCUGCGGGUUCCGGCCGUUAAAAGCCUUUUUUUACCCAAGGUUGACCUCGGAUCAGGUAGGAAGACCCGCUGAACUUAAGCAUAUCAAUAAGGGAGGA
rnacentral:misc_RNA from 1 species